UACGUAGGGUGCGAGCGUUGUCCGGAAUUAUUGGGCGUAAAGGGCUCGUAGGCGGUUUGUCGCGUCGGGAGUGAAAUCCACUGGCUUAACUGGUGGCUUGCUUUCGAUACGGGCAGACUGGAGGUAUGCAGGGGAGAACGGAAUUCCUGGUGUAGCGGUGAAAUGCGCAGAUAUCAGGAGGAACACCGGUGGCGAAGGCGGUUCUCUGGGACGGUACUGACGCUGGGACACGAAAGCGUGGGUAGCAAACAGG
rnacentral:rRNA from 1 species